rfam:Myotis brandtii contig219382, whole genome shotgun sequence.
GGCAGUUCUUGGGUGACACACCCUGGAAUCGGGCUCCCUCUUCUCUGGUUCCGGGUGUGCCCCCCAAGAACUACA